rnacentral:rRNA from 1 species
UACGUAGGGGGCAAGCGUUGUCCGGAUUUAUUGGGCCUAAAGCAUCCGUAGCCGGCCUUACAAGUCCUCCGUUAAAUCCAGCUGCUUAACAGAUGGGCUGCGGAGGAUACUAUAAGACUAGGAGGCAGGAGAGGCAAGCGGUACUCAGUGGGUAGGGGUAAAAUCCGUUGAUCCAUUGAAGACCACCAGUGGCGAAGGCGGCUUGCCAGAAUGCGCUCGACGGUGAGGGAUGAAAGCUGGGGGAGCAAACCGG